rnacentral:rRNA from 1 species
GACGAACGCUGGCGGCGUGCCUAAUACAUGCAAGUCGAACGCAGUGGGGACGGGUGAGUAACACGUGGGUAACCUCCCAUCAGAGGGGAUAACACUUGGAAACAGGUGCUAAACCGAUACUGAUGGAUGGACCCGCGGUGCAUUGGCUAGUUGGUGAGGUAACGGCUCACCAAGGCCACGAUGCAUAGCCGACCUGAGAGGGGGAGCGGCCACACUGGGACUGAGACACGGCCCAGACUCCUACGGGAGGCAGCAGUAGGGAAUCUUCGGCAAUGGGCGAAAGUCUGACCGAGCCACGCCGCGUGAAUGAAGAAGGUUUUCGGAUCGUAAAGCUCGGUUGUUGGAGAAGCGGUAUCUGAACAGAAAGCAACGGCUAACUACGUGCCAGCCGCCGCGGUAAUUC